rnacentral:lncRNA from 1 species
ACAACUGAAUAUGCAAACCACACAUAACUGAAGCUCGCACCCACUAACUAGCAAGCAAAACAGAAUUCUCAGUUACAUCCAACAUCGCUACGUGGAGAACAUCACAGAGGCUUUUCUUGCGAUAACUGUUUCUGCGCGACUUCCUCUCCUGCUUCUUCAUGUCCUGCACCGUUGGUGUCUCUUCGCUAUAUGAUCAACAAAAGUGACUGGGGUUCAGACACUAUGAAUCUGAGGCCAGUUUAAUGCACCGGUUUUCAGUUUCCCAUGCUUCCCAGUCCUUUCGCAGCCUCCUUCCGUAGCAGAGAUGAGCCUCGGUGCAGGAGCCUAGAGAAAUAAAACAGAGGAAUGAUCAUGAAUAAUCAUAGUCAACCAACAAUAAUAUUAACUGCACAAACAUAAAUGAGAAUGGACCAUUUGUUUUAAGAUCAGCUUAAAUGGCCUGAGCACGUCGAACGGGCCAAUUUAAACUUUAUUUCAGUUGCCAAUGCAGAUAGGAUGUAUCGGCAUUACAGUACCCAUCAAUGAAUAAUUUGGCACGACUAGUUUUCCAUUACACCACCAUGUAUGCUGACAGCGUCAGCACACAGCUAAAGGAAGGUCAAUAUAACUUAACAUGUUGAACUCAAGAAGGCUAGGACACUGGGCGCUGACAAGUGGAAGAUUUCCUUUGGUUUCCUUUGACAUGUCAAAUCAGUAUCAGAGCACGCAAAUGGUUGACCAGAAGAAGAAAAUAAUUUGGAAGGCAACCACAUGAAAGCACAACACCUAUGGCAGACCGUGUGUUUGUUCAGCAUAUGCAUAAUCACCACAGCAAGCAAAACUGGAAACUAACCAAAAGAAUAUGCAACCCUCCAUCACCAGAGAGCACCACCUUCCAUCAAAUUUGCAUCGGUCAUCAGCGUAGGCUGCAAUUACGCAUGCACAUAGAUUCUCCAGAUCAUAUACGUCAUGGCACUUAUGCAGUGUCUUGGCAAGGAAAGAAACAUAAACCCAGUACAAAUUUCCAUCACAGUUUCACCUUCGACAGUUAAAUUACAAAGGUGUAAAGCUAAGGCUGAAUCAUAAAGACUAUGGGAACACUAUU